rnacentral:rRNA from 1 species
CCUACGGGAGGCAGCAGUGAGGAAUAUUGGUCAAUGGACGCAAGUCUGAACCAGCCAUGCCGCGUGCAGGAAGACGGCUCUAUGAGUUGUAAACUGCUUUUGUACGAGGGUAAACGCAGAUACGCGUAUCUGUCUGAAAGUAUCGUACGAAUAAGGAUCGGCUAACGCCGUGCCAGCCGCCGCGGUAAUACGGAGGAUUCAAGCGUUAUCCGGAUUUAUUGGGUUUAAAGGGUGCGUAGGCGGUCGGAUAAGUUAGAGGUGAAAUCCCGAGGCUCAAAUUCGGAAUUGCCUCUGAUACUGUUCGGCUAGAGAGUAGUUGCGGUAGGCGGAAUGUAUGGUGUAGCGGUGAAAUGCUUAGAGAUCAUACAGAACACCGAUUGCGAAGGCAGCUUACCAAGCUACUUCUGACGUUGAGGCACGAAAGCGUGGGGAGCAAACAGGAUUAGAUACCCCGGUAGUC